rnacentral:rRNA from 1 species
UGGGGAAUUUUGGACAAUGGGCGAAAGCCUGAUCCAGCCAUGCCGCGUGCAGGAUGAAGGCCUUCGGGUUGUAAACUGCUUUUGUACGGAACGAAAAGGUGCCUUCUAAUAAAGGGCGGUCAUGACGGUACCGUAAGAAUAAGCACCGGCUAACUACGUGCCAGCAGCCGCGGUAAU